rnacentral:rRNA from 1 species
UGCGAAUUUUCGGCGAAUGUCGUCUUCACAGUAUAACCAGAUUGCUUGGGGUUAUAUGGUCAAGUGAAGAAGCGCAUACGGUGGAUGCCUUGGCAGUCAGAGGCGAUGAAAGACGUGGUAGCCUGCGAAAAGCUUCGGGGAGUCGGCAAACAGACUUUGAUCCGGAGAUGUCUGAAUGGGGGAACCCAGCCAUCAUAAGAUGGUUAUCUUGUACUGAAUACAUAGGUGCAAGAGGCGAACCAGGGGAACUGAAACAUCUAAGUACCCUGAGGAAAAGAAAUCAACCGAGAUUCCCUUAGUAGUGGCGAGCGAACGGGGACUAGCCCUUAAGUGGCUUUGAGAUUAGCGGAACGCUCUGGAAAGUGCGGCCAUAGUGGGUGAUAGCCCUGUACGCGAAAAUCUCUUGGUCAUGAAAUCGAGUAGGACGGAGCACGAGAAACUUUGUCUGAAUAUGGGGGGACCAUCCUCCAAGGCUAAAUACUACUGACUGACCGAUAGUGAACUAGUACCGUGAGGGAAAGGCGAAAAGAACCCCGGAGAGGGGAGUGAAAUAGAUCCUGAAACCGUAUGCGUACAAGCAGUGGGAGCCCACUUUGUUGGGUGACUGCGUACCUUUUGUAUAAUGGGUCAGCGACUUAUUUUCAGUGGCGAGCUUAACCGAAUAGGGGAGGCGUAGCGAAAGCGAGUCUUAAUAGGGCGUCUAGUCGCUGGGAAUAGACCCGAAACCGGGCGAUCUAUCCAUGGGCAGGUUGAAGGUUAGGUAACACUGACUGGAGGACCGAACCGACUACCGUUGAAAAGUUAGCGGAUGACCUGUGGAUCGGAGUGAAAGGCUAAUCAAGCUCGGAGAUAGCUGGUUCUCCUCGAAAGCUAUUUAGGUAGCGCCUCAUGUAUCACUGUAGGGGGUAGAGCACUGUUUCGGCUAGGGGGUCAUCCCGACUUACCAAACCGAUGCAAACUCCGAAUACCUACAAGUGCCGAGCAUGGGAGACACACGGCGGGUGCUAACGUCCGUCGUGAAAAGGGAAACAACCCAGACCGUCAGCUAAGGUCCCAAAGUUAUGGUUAAGUGGGAAACGAUGUGGGAAGGCUUAGACAGCUAGGAGGUUGGCUUAGAAGCAGCCACCCUUUAAAGAAAGCGUAAUAGCUCACUAGUCGAGUCGGCCUGCGCGGAAGAUGUAACGGGGCUCAAACCAUACACCGAAGCUACGGGUAUCACCUUCGGGUGAUGCGGUAGAGGAGCGUUCUGUAAGCCUGUGAAGGUGAGUUGAGAAGCUUGCUGGAGGUAUCAGAAGUGCGAAUGCUGACAUGAGUAACGACAAUGGGUGUGAAAAACACCCACGCCGAAAGACCAAGGUUUCCUGCGCAACGUUAAUCGACGCAGGGUUAGUCGGUCCCUAAGGCGAGGCUGAAAAGCGUAGUCGAUGGAAAACAGGUUAAUAUUCCUGUACUUCUGGUUAUUGCGAUGGAGGGACGGAGAAGGCUAGGCCAGCUUGGCGUUGGUUGUCCAAGUUUAAGGUGGUAGGCUGG